CUUGCCCCUCGAGGCGUUGCAGCUCAACCCUUAGUGUUGCAGCUGUGUCAUGAGGCGGCAGAGAGCGAGCACU